CUCUCUCGCUGACAUUAUUGACACCUCAAACAAAUAACAGAUUCGCUUGGUUCGCUAUUUGUUGUGUGCAUGCAUUCGCGUCGCUGUGUUUUCGGCUUGGGUACUGUUAGCCGGCAAAAUUUAUAAUUUUAUUCAAUUAUACUUUUCAAGUGUUCACCGCUGCGGUUAAUUAUAAUAGUCGAAUAAAACAAAAACUUAUAAAUAAGAAAAUUCCCACUAUCUACGAAAAUGAUUCACGUAUCACAGGAUAUGAUUAGCAGUGUGACAGAUCCAAUUACGGGGGAGCUAGCUCAUAUACACCGUUUCACUUUGGUGAACGAUGCCACGAAUAUGUAUGUGCAGGUCAUAUCUUAUGGUGCCGCCAUCUACUCUCUACGAAUUCCAGAUGAAUCCGGCAAAUUGCAAGACGUUGUUCUGGGCUUCGAUUUAAUAGAAGAAUAUGAAGACCCGAAUAAUCCGUACUUUGGUGCCACCAUUGGGCGUGUUUGUAAUCGCAUUGCCAAUGGUAACUUCAAGAUUUACGAAAAAGAAGUUCAAGUUAGGCAAAAUCAUGGUGAACAUCACUUGCAUGGUGGCUAUAUUGGUUUCGAUAAAGUACCAUGGAAUCUGAAAGAAAUUCAUGAAAAUGGUGUCACUUUUAGUCAUCGUUCACCAGACGGUCAUGAGGGUUAUCCCGGUGAACUUUUUGCCACUGUCCGUUAUACACUGCACGAAGAUAAUACUUUGCGUAUUUUUAUGACUGCAAAAACAACAAUGACAACCGUGGUCAAUAUGACAAAUCAUUCGUACUUCAAUUUGGCUGGACAUGAUGCCGGCAGGGAGGCACUUUAUCAACACACUGUGUCGAUAUAUGGGCGUGAUAUAACUCAAACGGAUAACUUUUGUAUUCCAACAGGCAUAUAUCUGCCGGUCGUCUACACUGCCUAUGACUUUCGAUGUGGCGAAAAUCUGGGUCGACGUAUACGACAAAUUGAGGAUAGAAAAUUGGGUUUCGAUGACAAUUUUUGUGUAACACGGGAGGGAGUGAGUGAGAAUGCGAUCUCCAGAGUGGCAAAAGUUGUUCACCAGCCGACUGGUCGUUGGAUGGAGGUCUAUAGCAAUCAACCAGGUGUGCAAUUCUACACCGGUAACUUUCUGCCAGAUGAGCGAAAGGGCGAGAAACUGCUUAAGGGCAGAGAUAGAUCAACUUACCACAAACAUGGCGCAUUCUGUCUCGAGACGCAAAAGUACCCCGACGCACCCAAUCACCCACACUUCCCAACGAUUAUAUUACGACCCGGCGAGUUGUAUGAACAUAUGGUGCACUAUAAAUUCGGCACGCUCAGAAGUAAGGCACCAUUAACUAGGCUCAGCGAAUUGGAUGAUAUUGAAUAUAUUGAUACAAGUGUUACCGAGAAUAUAGAGGAUGAUGUUUAUGAAGAUAUGUCUGCAGAUGUCACAAGCGCAUCUAAAUCCGAUAUUCCUGAAGAAGGGAGUAAAGCAGAAACUUCUCUGGAAGGGAGUAAAACAAAUAUUCGCGAAGAAGAGAAACCGCAAAGUGCUGGCGCCAUAAAGAAGCAAGAAAAGAAAGAGACAAGUGAGGUCAAUGAAGAGGCUGCAGCAUUAGCAAAAGUAGACGAAAAAGCAGCAGAGAAACUAGCGGAAAAAGCACAAGAAGCGGUGGAAGUUCAAGUACCUGUUGAGGAAGAAGUUAAAGAGGAGCUUAAAAAAGAAACUAAAAAGUAUAAAAUAGACGCUGAGUGCCAGACUGGAGCAGCAGCAACACUUGCUAAGGUUGUAAAAGAGAAGAAGGAAGCGGAAGCUCAGGCGAAACCAGAUGAAGAAGAUGAGGAACUACAGGGUGCUUGCGGUGGUGCACCCAAGGGAAUUGCAAAAAAAUGAAGUACCUAUCAUAUAAGUGAUUAAUUUACAAAAAUAAUAAGUAAUCCAAAAUAACGCAACAUUUUCCAAAAUAUUAUACUAUACCAAUAUUCACAAAACUUAGAAUUGUUUAAAUGAUAAUUAGUGCGCGAUUAAAUAAAUUAGAGCUUCAAGUCUAUUAAAAAAAUAAUAAUUUUCAUAUAUUCAUAUACUGCAUAUAAAAAAAGAACAUACUUAAAUCAUCAUAAACUCUUUACCUGCCACUGCAUUUGUGCUGGAAAACCUUAAAAUUCAGUUUAGUGUUCAAAAAAAAUUUAAUGAACUUAUACAUUUACAAAUUUUAAAUCAAAAAUUGGCGAUUUAUGCACAAAUGGAGGUUCCUGUAUUUUUUUCAACACCUUAACAUAAAUGGUGGGUUUCAUAAGCGGUUGCUUCACCGCAGAAAUAUAAUAUAUAACAUUGGCUGAAAUUAAGAUAAGGAUCCUCAAAAUUUUUCUGCUUCGACCUAAAGGCAACGCUACAUGCCCACAACAGGAGAUUAUGCGCCCACGAAAAGUUUCCGUGAACAAAAUGAUUGUUUCAUUGGCUGUAUGACAUGUAGCGCCGUCUUGUUGAAACCAAAGAUCGUCCACAUCAAGGUCCUCCAAUUCAGGCACGAAACAGUCAUUUAUCAUGACUUUAUAGCAUACCGCAUCGACUGUAACAUUUUGGCCCACUGCCCAUGGACCAGCUUAUCAUCACUUCAAAUGCGACAAUUUUGUUUAUUAAUGUACCCAUUCAACCAAAGGGAGUUUCAUCGCUGAAUAAAAUUAUCUUGUUAAAAUCAGGAUCUUUGGACAACUCGACUUUGUAAGCCCACAAAGCAAGAUCUUUUCGCAAAACCUGUCAUGCACCACAUCAGAAAUAGCGUAUAUAUUGCAUUUGAUCUACAAAGAAAAAAUUAUAAGGAGCAAUUAAAACUAUUGACGACUAAA